rnacentral:rRNA from 1 species
UACGUAGGGGGGCGAGCGUUUGUCCGGAGUUACUGGGCGUAAAGGGCGCGCAGGCGGUCUGGUAAGUUUGGAGUGACAGUGCUCGGCUUAACUGAGCAAGGCCUUCGAAAACUGCUAGACUUGAGCACUCAAGAGGGACAUAGAAUUCCGGGUGGAGUGGUGAAAUGCGUAGAUAUCCGGAGGAAUACCAAAGGCGAAGGCAGUGUCCUGGGGGAGUGUCUGACGCUCAGGCGCGAAAGCUAGGGGAGCGAACAGG